rnacentral:rRNA from 1 species
AUUGAACGCUGGCGGCAGGCCUAACACAUGCAAGUCGAACGGUAGCACAGAGAGCUUGCUCUCGGGUGACGAGUGGCGGACGGGUGAGUGACGUCUGGGAAACUGCCCGAUGGAGGGGGAUAACUACUGGAAACGGUAGCUAAUACCGCAUAACGUCGCAAGACCAAAGUGGGGGACCUUCGGGCCUCACACCAUCGGAUGUGCCCAGAUGGGAUUAGCUAGUAGGUGGGGUAAUGGCUCACCUAGGCGACGAUCCCUAGCUGGUCUGAGAGGAUGACUAGCCACACUGGAACUGAGACACGGUCCAGACUCCUACGGGAGGCAGCAGUGGGGAAUAUUGCACAAUGGGCGCAAGCCUGAUGCAGCCAUGCCGCGUGUAUGAAGAAGGCCUUCGGGUUGUAAAGUACUUUCAGCGGGGAGGAAGGCGGUGAAGUUAAUAACUUCACCGAUUGACGUUACCCGCAGAAGAAGCACCGGCUAACUCCGUGCCAGCCGCCGCGGUAA